rnacentral:rRNA from 1 species
UACGUAGGGUCCGAGCGUUAAUCGGAAUUACUGGGCGUAAAGCGUGCGCAGGCGGUUUUGUAAGCCAGAUGUGAAAGCCCCGGGCUCAACCUGGGAACUGCAUUUGGGACUGCAAGGCUGGAGUACGGCAGAGGGAGGUGGAAUUCCACGUGUAGCAGUGAAAUGCGUAGAUAUCAGGAGGAAUACCGAUGGCGAAGGCAGGUCUCUGGGCCAAUACUGACGCUCAUGCACGAAAGCGUGGGGAGCAAACAGG